rnacentral:rRNA from 1 species
AACGUACGCUGGCGGCACGCCUAACACAUGCAAGUCGAACGAAGUAGCAAUACUUAGUGGCAGACGGGUGAGUAACAUGUAGGUAUCUGCCCUUUGGCCUGGAAUAACACGAGGAAACUUGUGCUAAUACCGGAUAAGUCUUUACGGAGAAAGCUUUAUGCACCAUUGGAUGAGCCUGCACUUGAUUAGUUUGUUGGUGGGGUAAUGGCCUACCAAGACUGUGAUCAAUAGCUGAUUUGAGAGGAUGAUCAGCCACAUUGGGACUGAGGCACGGCCCAAACUCCUACGGGAGGCAGCAGUGGGGAAUCUUGCACAAUGGAGGAAACUCUGAUGCAGCGAUGCCGCGUGAGUGAAGAAGGCCCUUGGGUUGUAAAGCUCUUUCGUCGGGGAAGAAAAUGACUGUACCCGAAUAAGAAGGUCCGGCUAACUUCGUGCCAGCAGCCGCGGUAAUACGAAGGGACCUAGCGUAGUUCGGAAUUACUGGGCUUAAAGAGUUCGUAGGUGGUUGAAAAAGUUAGUGGUGAAAUCCCAGAGCUUAACUCUGGAACUGCCAUUAAAACUUUUCAGCUAGAGUAUGAUAGAGGAAAGCAGAAUUUCUAGUGUAGAGGUGAAAUUCGUAGAUAUUAGAAAGAAUACCAAUUGCGAAGGCAGCUUUCUGGAUCAUUACUGACACUGAGGAACGAAAGCAUGGGUAGCGAAGAGGAUUAGAUACCCUCGUAGUCCAUGCCGUAAACGAUGUGUGUUAGACGUUGGAAAUUUAUUUUCAGUGUCGCAGGGAAACCGAUAAACACACCGCCUGGGGAGUACGACCGCAAGGUUAAAACUCAAAUGAAUUGACGGGGACCCGCACAAGUAGUGGAGCAUGUGGUUUAAUUCGAAGAUACGCGCAGAACCUUACCAACACUUGACAUGUUCGUCGCGACUCUAAGAGAUUAGAGUUUUCGGUUCGGCCGGACGAAACACAGGUGCUGCAUGGCUGUCGUCAGCUCGUGUCGUGAGAUGUUGGGUUAAGUCCCGCAACGAGCGCAACCCUCACUUUUAGUUGCCAUCAUUAAGUUGGGCACUCUGAAAGAACUGCCAGUGAUAAGCUGGAGGAAGGUGGGGAUGACGUCAAGUCCUCAUGGCCCUUACGUGUUGGGCUACACACGUGCUACAAUGGUAUCUACAACAGGAAGCAAGACUGCGAAGUUAAGCAAAUCCCUAAAAGAUACCUCAGUUCGGAUUGCACUCUGCAACUCGAGUGCAUGAAGCUGGAAUUACUAGUAAUCGUGGAUCAGCGUGCCACGGUGAAUGCGUUCCCGGGUCU